CCUACGGUGGGCAGCAGUGAGGAAUAUUGGUCAAUGGACGAGAGUCUGAACCAGCCAAGUAGCGUGAAGGAUGACUGCCCUAUGGGUUGUAAACUUCUUUUAUAUGGGACUAAAAUGUUCCACGUGUGGGAUUUUGUAUGUACCAUAUGAAUAAGGAUCGGCCAACUCCGUGCCCGCAGCCGCGGUAAUACGGAGGAUCCGAGCUUUAUCCGGAUUUAUUGGGUUUAAAGGGAGCGUAGGUGGAUUGUUAAGUCAGUUGUGAAAGUUUGCGGCUCAAACGUAAAAUUGCAGUUGAAACUGGCAGUCUUGAGUACAGUAGAGGUGGGCGGAAUUCGUGGGGUAGCGGUGAAAUGCUUAGAUAUCACGAAGAACUCCGAUUGCGAAGGCAGCUCACUGGAAUGCAACUGACACUGAGGCUCGAAAGUGUGGGUAUCAAACAGGAUUAGAUACCCCUGUAGUC
rnacentral:rRNA from 1 species